UACGUAGGGUGCGAGCGUUAAUCGGAAUUACUGGGCGUAAAGCGUGCGCAGGCGGUUUUGUAAGCCAGAUGUGAAAGCCCCGGGCUUAACCUGGGAAUGGCAUUUGGGACUGCAAGGCUUGAGUGCGGCAGAGGAGACUGGAAUUCCUGGUGUAGCAGUGAAAUGCGUAGAUAUCAGGAGGAAUACCGAUGGCGAAGGCAGGUCUCCUG
rnacentral:rRNA from 1 species